AUCUUGAAUCUAGACAUAAUUUCACAUUUUCAUAUACUCAUAAAACCUUACCACCUUUCGACUUCCGAAACUUCGAUCUUUCUAAAACUCACGAACGGGUUAUAAAGCAAAUCAUUGAUAUAACCACCUUUGCUACAAUCUGAGAUCGGAACCCUUUUCUUUUGUUCGGACAUUACCUCUCCUUUUGUUCGCGCUGGUUCAUUUUGGAGACAACCGAAGUUUACGUCGGACUCUCGUUAUCUCGUUUCGAUAUUAUACGGACUCAGUUUCAUCCCUUGCUGACACCCACGGGACGUUUCUGGAUCAUCGCUGAACCCGCCGGAGGAAUUCAGACGUCGCCGGGAUUAACGUGACUCGCCGGAGAUCGGAGAAGACGACCGGGGAGGAACUCGACACGGCGUUUCUUUUACGUGUUCGGAUAACCACUUCGUUCUCUUGGAUUAUUCUCCAUCUUUACUCGUGCGUUACUUACAAGAAAUCCAAACGCAACCAAUGUUGAGGAUGAUGAUGCUAUGAAAAGAAGUAGCGAUAACCACUUCGUUCUCUUGGAUUAUUCUCCAUCUUUACUCGUGCGUUACUUACAAGAAAUCCAAACGCAACCAAUGUUGAGGAUGAUGAUGCUAUGAAAAGAAGUAGCGUUGAUGCCUAGAUACACAUAUAGACGUUUAGGUUUAAUAUGUUGUAUCAAUUUUGAUUAUGUUGUUAUGUAUUUCCUUUGAACUUGUUGUUAUUUGUAUUUCUUGUAUUGUUGACAAUUUACUUAU
rnacentral:lncRNA from 1 species